rnacentral:rRNA from 1 species
UGGGGAAUAUUGCACAAUGGGGAACCCGUGAUGCAGCCAUGCCGCGUGUAUGAAGAAGGCCUUAGGGUUGUAAAGUACUUUCGGUGAUGAGGAAGGUACUUGGUCUAAUAGGCCAAGUAAUUGACGUUAAUUACAGAAGAAGCACCGGCUAACUCCGUGCCAGCAGCCGCGGUAAUACGGAGGGUGCGAGCGUUAAUCGGAAUGACUGGGCGUAAAGGGCAUGUAGGCGGAUGAUUAAGUUAGGUGUGAAAUCCCCGAGCUCAACUUGGGAAUUGCAUUUAAAACUGGUCGUCUAGAGUAUUGUAGAGGAAGGUAGAAUUCCACGUGUAGCGGUGAAAUGCGUUAGAGAUGUGGAGGAAUACCGGUGGCGAAGGCGGCCUUCUGGACAGAUACUGACGCUGAGAUGCGAAAGCGUGGGGAGCAAACA